UUCAUACCAUCGAGGUUCCAUAAAAACAAAAUAACAUACCGAUUAAUGAAUUUCUUUUUAAUUCAAAGAAUUGAAAAGAUAAGUGUACUACUCAUUAAGCACUGUAUUUAUACAGACAAAUCACACUAAAAAGGGAAAUACAAGAAUAAUAAUCAAGAGGAAAAAAAAAGGUCCAAAGAAAUUAUGACAGGAUAUGAUCUUAGACAACUGAUACUAUAUGAAUAUAUCUUAAACAAGAUAUAUAUGAUCUUGAUGGUGCUAAGGAUGUCCACCACGAGGUACUUGAGGAGGUGAUUGAAUUGGUCUUGGAUGAUCAAGGUCCCUACCUCCUCGAGGUGGUUGAAUCAAAAUCCGAGCUAAUCGCUGCUUACUAAAGGUGUUAACUCGAUUGCGUUCCUUAAUCUCUGCACACGAUGAAGAUUCAGAGAAGCAAUAAUUGAAUAUCAAUAAAUUGUUGCUUAAAUUUAAUUCCUUCUUGUGCAAGCCAUACAUUACAGAAGAACUGAAGAAGCUAGGUAAUCAGGUCAUACACGUUACCUGUUAUUGGCGAUUGGCUAUGUGCUAAUGAUGAACAGUAAGCCAACUGAUGCCCGAACAAUAGCAUGAGAAAUGCUAGUGCAGAGACUGCUACGCCUAAGAGCUUCGCCAUUGAUAAAGAAAUAGAGUUAUGAAUGAGAUGAUUUCCUGCCAAUAUCUUUUAUAUAUAGUUAGUGGACGCUCUCUCUCUCUCUCUCUCUCUCUCUCUCUCUCGCAUAAGUUUAUGUGGACAGGCAAAACUGCACAAUUACGAGGAAAGCUGGAGUCAACAAAGGCUGCGGAAAAAGAAAAAAAAUUACGACCGUCAUCCUUCGAAAAAUAGUGUUACCUUGACGCAAACAACAACAAACAAAAAAAAAAAAAACUGAUUUUAAGAGUCCAGUAUAGUACAUCCCUUCUCGAGGUGACUGGUUUCUUGCCGUUGAGAGCUACGUGGCAUGUGCUUAUUGGGUCAACUGAGUCCCGUUAUAUUUGAGCCUAAUUGGCUUGAUGCCAUUAAUCCAUGGGUUGACCCCGUACUUGGUCGAUCCCUGCUCAGGCUUCAGAGAAUAUAGGCCUAUAGUGUGGCACAAAUUAUCCUUAGGUCCAACAAAGGUCCUUGCUAGCUUGUGAGACAAUAUCGUCCUCAACUAAUCAACGCGUGAUUAGGUGUGGAUUCCUUUCCGGCGUUCGUGCAAGGAUAUUUUCAUCUGAUUGCUUCAAAUUGUGUCACAUUAUUGGCCGGAAA
rnacentral:lncRNA from 1 species